AUGGCGGACGGAGGCGUAUGGGUGUUCCGGAAGGACGGGGUGAUGGAGCUGGAGAACGCGGCCCGGUCGACGUCGAGCCGGAGUGGACCGGGCAACAAGGCGCUGCUGUACGUGCCGGCGAACGACACAAUGCGGUCGCUGCAGGCGCUGGAGCAGCGCCUCGGCGCGCACGGCUGGGAGCGCUACUACGAGAACCGGGACGUCGUGCAGCUCCACCGCCGCGACGGCAGCCUCGACCUCAUCUCGCUCCCGCGCGAAUUUGCGCAGUUCCGCUCCACCCACGUGUACGACGUAGUCGUCAAGAACCGAGGCCACUUCAAGGUCGUCGACCUCUAA
rnacentral:rRNA from 1 species